rnacentral:sRNA from 1 species
UUGACACCUAUACAUGGAUGUACUUUAUCCACUGAACAGGGACAGUAGCAGUGCAUGCUAUUUCACCUCUGCCCUGGAAGGACCACCUCCAGGGUGAGAAGGCUGAUCAGUUCCCAUGCCCAUUCAGUCUGUGACCUUC